rnacentral:hammerhead_ribozyme from 1 species
AUCCAGUUGACGAGUUCGAAACAGGACGAAAUAUGCAUCCUCGAU